CAACGAAACAGCGAAACUUCGAAAGUGUUUUUGUUUUGAUGGAUAGUUUUACGUACCCUAAAAGCACAACGAAAGCAUUUUCAAUGAAAGUACAUUUUGUACUUCAAGAAGUAGAAGAAUCUAAGCAACAGAACAGAAUUCAUUUGAGGCAUUGCUUUCUAGAUUAUAUAAUGGGUUCAUAGAUUGUCAUAUUGAUUUAUGUGCAUAUAAGGAGCAGCAGGCAAUAAUUAUUUUGUGAUGAGAGCUUGUUACCAUGGUUACCAAAUGAAAGGAAAGUACAGUAUUAGAAUCACUGGUGUACAUGUAGGUGCGGAUGUCAGGCAAAAAGAACUGGUAUCAAAGAACUGAAAAGUAAAGAAACAGAACCAAAGAACAUUAAUUUUAGAUUAAUACAAUAUUGAACUCAAAGUCAAUCUAGUUGUCUUUCUUAAUCAUACAGGAUAUUUACAAAAAGCAGCUGCAUACACAUGCACCAGUAAUAGCCAGCAGUGAAGACAAUUAAAUAUCUGUGUAUGGUGAUAUAGCAAUAGAAAUAUCACAUACAUCAUAGGAAAAUAGAAUAUAGACAAUAGAAAUGGAGUAUGUCAAAGAGACAAAAAUAUGAAAAUAGAAUAUAGACAAUAGAAAUGGAGUACAUGUCAAAGAGACAAAAAUAUGAAAAUAGAAUAUAGACAAUAGAAAUGGAGUAUGUCAAAGAGACAAAAAUAUGAAAAUAGAAUAUAGACAAUAGAAAUGGGGUAUGUCAAAGAGACACACAUAUGAAAAUAGAAUAUAGACAAUAAAAUUGGGGUAUGUCAAAGAGACAAACAUGAAAAUAGAAUAUAGACAAUAGAAAUGGGGUAUGUCAAAGAGACACACAAAGUCAUAUGAAAAUAGAAUAUAGACAAUACUAGAAAUGGUGUAUGUCGAAGAGACAAACAAAUGAAAAAAGAAUAUAG